CCUACGGGGAGCAGCAGUGGGGAAUAUUGGACAAUGGGCGAAAGCCUGAUCCAGCCAUGCCGCGUGUGUGAAGAAGGCCUUCGGGUUGUAAAGCACUUUCAGUGGGGAAGAAAGCCUUGGGGCUAAUACCCUCGAGGAAGGACAUCACCCACAGAAGAAGCACCGGCUAACUCCGUGCCAGCAGCCGCGGUAAUACGGAGGGUGCGAGCGUUAAUCGGAAUUACUGGGCGUAAAGCGCGCGUAGGCGGUCUGAUAAGCCGGUUGUGAAAGCCCCGGGCUCAACCUGGGAACGGCAUCCGGAACUGUCAGGCUAGAGUGCAGGAGAGGAAGGUAGAAUUCCCGGUGUAGCGGUGAAAUGCGUAGAGAUCGGGAGGAAUACCAGUGGCGAAGGCGGCCUUCUGGACUGACACUGACGCUGAGGUGCGAAAGCGUGGGUAGCAAACAGGAUUAGAUACCCCAUAGUC
rnacentral:rRNA from 1 species